rnacentral:rRNA from 1 species
UCAGGACGAACGCUGGCGGCGUGCCUAAUACAUGCAAGUCGAGCGGAUCUUUGGGAGCUUGCUCCCAAAGAUUAGCGGCGGACGGGUGAGUAACACGUGGGCAACCUGCCUAUGAGACUGGGAUAACUCCGGGAAACCGGGGCUAAUACCGGAUAAUUCUUUUCUACACAUGUAGAAAAGCUGAAAGAUGGUUUCGGCUAUCACUCAUAGAUGGGCCCGCGGCGCAUUAGCUAGUUGGUGAGGUAACGGCUCACCAAGGCGACGAUGCGUAGCCGACCUGAGAGGAUGAUCGGCCACACUGGGACUGAGACACGGCCCAGACUCCUACGGGAGGCAGCAGUAGGGAAUCUUCCGCAAUGGACGAAAGUCUGACGGAGCAACGCCGCGUGAGUGAUGAAGGUUUUCGGAUCGUAAAACUCUGUUGUUAGGGAA